UAGCAUCGAGAUAAUCACUGACGAUUGAAUAAAAAUCCAAGUGAUCUCUCGUAUGGUCACGCUCAGUACCAGUUGUUCUCUAACAACCAUCCACACUUGUCAUCCUAUGUCUCUACAUAGUAGAUUAGAAAUCCAUCUAUCCUAAAGAAAGCAAUUUGUAUGCCAGUCUAUCUAAAUCUAUCAUCACCCUCAUGAUGAUCC
rnacentral:lncRNA from 1 species